GCCCCCGGCCCCAACACCGCCUGGCCCCGCGGGCGACCCCGGACCCGCAGCCCCACUAACCAGCGCGCUGCCCAGGGCCUGGCCGACCCACGGCCCGGUUGGUCAGCACGUCGUCUCAAGUAGGUAGCCUUUUGACGUCACUGUGGCCAUGACCAACUGGUAGGACCAGCACCCCAUACCGCGAAGCCAGUUCAGAAUGACCGAAGAAGCAUGCCAAAAACGGAGUCAGAAACGAGCGCUUCAACUGGACCCAACAGAGGACGACGCGGAGAGCAAGAAAAUAAAAAUGGAGAGAGGGUUGUUGGCUUCAGAUUUAAACACUGACAGAGACAUAAGGUGACACCUGAGCCGGGAGCGGGUCCAGCCCAAGGAUUGCUGAGGGCAACAGGGGCCACGACGGUGGCCAUGGGCAGAGGCGAAGGUCUGGUGGGCGAUGGACCCGUGGACAUGCCCUCCUCACACAGUGACAUGAAAUCUGAGAGAAGACCCCCCUUACCGACGUGAUUGUACUCUGCCACAACGAGCAGCCCUCCAGCCCGAGAGAGAAUGGGCUGAUCACGGUGGCCUUGAAGGAGACUAGCACCGAGGCUCUCAUGAAAAGCAACCCGAAAGAACGAGAAAGGAUGUUCAAGCAGCUGAAAGAAGAGUUGAGGUUAGAAGAAGCAAAACUCGUUUUGUUGAAAAAGUUGCGGACGAGUCAAAUACGAAAGGAAGCCACCGCCCAGAAGCCCGCAGGUUCUGUCUGGAGCGCCGUGACCACCCCUCUGCCGCUUGUUGGGGGCACCCAGAACAUUCCUGCUGGCAAGCCGUCACUCCAGAUCUCUUCAGCUCGGAUGCCUGGCAGUGUCAUACCCCCGCCCCUGGUCCGAGGUGGGCAGCAGGUGUCCUUGAAGCUGGGGCCGCAGGAGAACUCGCAGGUCGUCAUGACCCCGCUGGUCAGGGGGCCCCAGCAUAUCCAUAGCAUUAUGCAACAUUCCAGCACAGGCCCACCGCCCCUCCUGGCCCCCCGGGCAUCGGUGCCCAGUGUGCAGAUUCAGGGACAGAGGAUCGUCCAGCAGGGCCUCAUCCGCAUUGCCAGUGUUCCCAACACCAGCCUGCUCAUCAACAUCCCACAGCCCACCCCAGCAUCACUGAAGGGGACGACAGCUUCCUACGCUCAGGCCAACUCCACCCCCACUAGCGUGGCCUCUGUGGUCACCUCCGCCAAGUCUUCAGCAAGCCAACAGGCAGCCGCCAAGCUGGCGCUGCGCAAACAGCUGGAGAAGACGCUACUCGAGAUCCCGCCACCCGAGCCCCCAGCCCCGGAGAUGAACUUUCUGCCCAGCGCCCCCAACAGUGAGUUCAUCUACCUGGUCAGCCUGGAGGAGGUGGUGCAGAACCUACUGGAGACACAAGCGGGCAGGAUGUUGGCCGCCACUGUGCUGUCCCGGGAGCCCUAAAUGUGUACACACUGCAAGAUGGACUUCAUGUGCCGCUGGUGGGAGGAGAAGAGCGGCGCCAUCAUGUGUGAGAACUGCAUGACGACCAACCAGAAGAAGGCGCUCAAGGUGGAGCACACCAGCCGGCUGAAGGCUGCCUUCGUGAAGGCGCUGCAGCAGGAGCAGGAGAUUGAGCAGCGGCUCCUGCAGCAGGGCGCAGCCUCUGCUCCACAGGCCCAGGCCAAGGCCGAGGCCGCCGCCGCCCCACAUCCCACGCUGAAGCAGGUCAUAAAACUCCGGCGUAGGUUGGCAUUCCGCUCAGGAGAGGCCUGCGACUAGAGUAACGGGGCUGUGCUACAGGCCUUUAGCCUGCUGUCCCAGGGUUCGGCCAUGACGCCCCGAGGUGUCCUGCACACGUUCAGUCAGUCACCCAAACUGCAGAACUCAGCCUUGGCCACAGCCCUGGUCAGCAGGACCGGCAGACAUUCCAAAUGAACCUGUCAAGGGCAGCGGCACCUCCAACUGGAGGAAGAUGCCCCUCAGCACAGGCGGGACCCUUGGGUUUGUCAGCCCAAGCCUGGCGGUGCACAAGAGCUCCUCGGCCGUGGACCGCCAAGCGAGAGUACCCUCCUGGACAUGACCCAGCCCCGCUCCAUCCCCCAGUCACCACCGUGA